GGGGCUAAGUACCCUACAGGCUAUAAAAAAAUAGUAAUGCACGAUGCACACAUGAUAAGGCGGCAUCACAGUACAGGUAGUUAAAUUCAGGAACUCUGGAAUCCGAGAGCCUGGGUCAAAUCCUGGCAGGGCCACUACCACCUGUGUGAGCCAAGGAAGGUUCUAAAGUUUUGCAAAUGCUGUUUUACCAAAUUUGCAAAAUGAAGAGAACCUGCCUGCCAGGUAGAGCUAUUGUGGGAAGCAACAUCCAGGAAGGUCUGAGCAUCUGGUCCCCAAGUCAGAAACCUUCACAGCCCAGAUGGGGAUGCCCUAAGUUCAUACCCUUCUAGGCGACCACAGAGAAGUGCCGCCUGCCUCCAGGACUCGGAGAGGCGCAAGAGAGCUUCCUGAAGGAGGCGGCAUCCUCCCACGCUACCUGUAUAGAGAGGAGAGAAGGGAAACUGGGUCCUCUCUGGCAAUGUGGCCGCUGCCUGCAAGGAAGCAGCUGGGGGCGCUUGCUCCCUGCCUGCGCUGGUGUCUUCUCCCUACACUAGCCCAGGCCGGCUGCAGCGGCGGGGCUGCCUGGGCGGAGUCAGGAGACAGCACCGCCCGGCCCCUCCCCAGGCACCUUCCCUGUGAGCCAGCUCCCUACUGUGGGAGGAUCUGGGGAGUUCCCGCCUCCAGCUUUGGGCAAGGUCUGCCUCCAGAGUCCCCAGCGGCAAGGGCGGGCGCACCCACGGGCACUGGUUGCCAAAUCUCCCACCCUCAGGCCAGAUGCCGAGUGAGCCUCGGCAGUCCUGAAUCCCCAUUUAAUGGCCGGGAGCCGCUGGGAGCCUAACGCCUGCAACCACUCGGUUGCAGCUCGAGUCCGGAUGGGAUCGGACCGUUGGACCUCACCGUUGGCCCUUUGUUGUAUUUCUUCGCGCCCUGGGCUCGCGCAAGCUUUCUCUGCCAAGCGUUCCAACGGCCGCUCACCGGCAUCUGGCUAAAACAGGGUGCGCUUCGCCUCGGAGUUCCCACUCCACUCCAAGGAUCCAACAGCGCACAAGCUGCUCUUCACGGGCAACUACCUCUGCAAGCUUCACCCCGGCCCCGCCACGCCCCACAGAGUUCCCUGUCUGGUCUGGAUCACCUCGCUCUCCCUGCACCUCUCUCCUUGGCCUAGCUCGACAAGUGCUUCCCGCGAUCCUGCACCUCUACCCCUCGGUUUCAUCGCCGCUAAGGGGUGGUGGUGUCUGAUCCAUCAGGCUCUGCGCUCCUCAUUCGGAUCCAUCCUCAAUGUCCAGGCAGGACUCUCACAUGAAGCCGGUGCUGUCUGCUGUUCACUCUAAGAUGCUCAGCCACGCAGGACAGUUACGAUCUGUCAUCCAGGGCCCAAACCGACUCUCCUCCAUUGCUAUCUGAGUAGGCAGUCUCCUCUGUGAGGUCGAUCCCAUCCUUACUGCCUAGAUCCCUGCCCAGGAAGACGGAGAUGAGGACCAUAGGAGAGAGCAGCCAGGCAUAGUGAAGGUGAAGGAUGAGUAUAGUGAUCCCAGCGCAGAGAAGCUCCCCUACCCCCACCCAUCGCAGUGGGAGUGAGUCAUCAGAUCUAUCCCCAAGACAACGAAGUCCUAACUUCAUUCCCGUGCAGUCCCGGGCCAUUGAAGGGAAACCUCCUCUCCAACCCCCGGAAGACGCCUUCGAUGAGAAAGAGGUAUUGUAUGAGCUCAUUCAUCAAAGGCCAUGCCAAUACCAGCUCAGGCAGUGCCGCUAGGGGAUUCCUACCUCUCUGGAGGUCCAGUUCUCUCUGAAGACAGAGAAGAUGAAGGGAAGAAGGGUUUCAAACAGGAACUCUCAACCCACGUCUGCCAGUUGUAGACUCUGUAAACAAAGUUCCAACUCGCCUGCUGCUCCCACUGCCGCUGCUAUUUUUUGAGGUCAAGAUUCUUCCACCUGUAUGCCCAUCUUCACAGAGCAGCCCAUCACUGGUGCCUCAAGCAUUUUCACUAUUACAGCCAGUCAUCUGCAGACAUAACCUCAAGCCUACUUUGUACUCUGGUAUAAACUACAUGGAUACCAAUCCCUUUUCACAGGUUUCCAUCUCCUGGUCUCCCCUAGGAUCUAGGAUGAGUAUUCUCCCAUUUGACCAGUUCCAUCCCAGUAUGGAGCAGAUAUCCCUUGUAAGGAAUGCAGUCUCCACCCACCCACCUGUUUUUAUGGUCAACAGCCCUACCUGAAUUUCCAACAUUGCCUUUUGACCCAGGAAACACCUGUCAGCUGAAAUCUAGGGUUCCUGACAGGCCUCAACAGGAAGCCACUCUCUUCAAUGCCCUAUCUUUUCUGGCCCUCCUACCACUGCUUCUGCAGUCACUUCCACUAUAGUAAGCAGACCCUCUUCAGACUGCCUUUGACUCUGAUGAAAUCAACAUGGAUACCAUGCCCAUUUCCCCAUCUGUUAUCUUCCUGUCUCUCCCUGCAACAUUAACAGCUGUUUCCCUUUGAAGAACCUGGCAGCCCCUCAAAACCCUUCAAACUUAACCAAUGACAGCACCACUGUGUCAGCUUUUGGGAAUUUGACUCCCCCAUGUCCACCUUUGGCAUCUGCUAUGGUUUGAAUGUGUCAACCAAAUUUCGUGUAUUAAAAACUCAAUCCCCAAA